GGGUUGUGGCUCAGUGGUAGAGUGCUCACUUAGUAUGUGCGAGGCCCUGGGUUUAAUCCUCAGAAGCACA
rnacentral:tRNA from 1 species